rnacentral:lncRNA from 1 species
UAAUAAAAGUGGUUAUUACACUUUUACACGCUAUACAUGGUUAUUACACAUUUACACGCCAAUAACAGAUGGUUAUUAACAUUAUACCACGCCUAUAACAGUGGUUAUUACACUUUACACGCCUAAUAACAGUGGUCUUUACACAUUUAACAACGCCUAUACAAGUGUUAUUACACCAACAAUCGCCUAAUACAGUGGUUAUUACAACACACGCCUAAUAACAGUGGUUAUUACACAUUUACACGCCUAAUUACAGUGGUUAUUACACAUUUACACGCUAAUACAGUGGUUAUUACACACGACCCUAAUAACAGUGGUUAUUACACACAGCUCAAUAAACAGUGGUUAUUUACACAUUUACACGCCUAAUUACAGUGGUUAUUACACAUUUACACGACCUAAUUAGUGGUUAUCGGCUGGGCGAUAUGAAGCAAAAAAUAAAAUGAUUUUUUUACUCAGUUU